UACGUAGGGUGCAAGCGUUAAUCGGAAUUACUGGGCGUAAAGCGUGCGCAGGCGGUUGUGCAAGACAGAUGUGAAAUCCCCGGGCUUAACCUGGGAAUUGCAUUUGUGACUGCACGGCUAGAGUGUGUCAGAGGGGGGUAGAAUUCCACGUGUAGCAGUGAAAUGCGUAGAGAUGUGGAGGAACACCGAUGGCGAAGGCAGCCCCCUGGGCUGAGAUUGACGCUCAGGCACGAAAGCGUGGGGAGCAAACAGG
rnacentral:rRNA from 1 species